AUUCGUGAGCAAGAUCCACUAAAACAAGGAUUGGAAC
rnacentral:other from 1 species